rnacentral:rRNA from 1 species
UACGUAGGGUGCGAGCGUUGUCCGGAAUUAUUGGGCGUAAAGAGCUCGUAGGCGGUUUGUUGCGUCUGCCGUGAAAGUCCGGGGCUCAACUCCGGAUCUGCGGUGGGUACGGGCAGACUAGAGUGAUGUAGGGGAGACUGGAAUUCCUGGUGUAGCGGUGAAAUGCGCAGAUAUCAGGAGGAACACCGAUGGCGAAGGCAGGUCUCUGGGCAUUAACUGACGCUGAGGAGCGAAAGCAUGGGGAGCGAACAGG